AAAGGAUGAUGAGGAAAUAUCUAUUGAAGGCGACGAAACAUGUAUUGAUGGCUGCGAAAAAUCUCUUGAUGACGAACCAUCUAAUGAUUGAUGGGAAUUGUUGGAAUGAAAGAAGAUGGACGUCUCCUAUAUAAAAAGUUAGGCUUAAUUUAGUUUCUUUUCUUUAUAGCAAAUAGUUUACAUGUUUGCAUACGAUAGGUUAUUUUAGUAUUAUUAAAGACUUAUUCAUUGAUAA